rnacentral:rRNA from 1 species
CUCUAUGUCCAUACCACCUUGAAUGCGCCUGACCUUGUCUGUUCUCAGAAGCUAACCAGGGUUGGGCCUAGUUAGUACUUGGAUGGGAGAUGAGUGGAAUCAUAUGCU